GGGGGAACCGCAGUGCCGCAGCUCCGCCGGUACCGGAACCCCCGGAGAGGCCCUGCAAUCUCCUGUCCGGCGCCGCUGACAAAUGGCGAAGUAAAUGGGACAGAUUGGGGACUGCUGCCGUAAAUCACAGCGCGGUGCUGCAGGUCACUUCAGAAGGAUGCAGGCGGUCAGACAGCUCCGCUGCGCCCGUCCCUGGGCCGUGCUGGGGGGGGGGUCUGCGUUGUGCACCCUGCCCCCCCUGCAGCCACGUGUGCCCACGUCUGAGGAGCGCCGUGCCGGGAGUCACU